CCUGGCUCAGGAGUGAACGCUGGCGGCGUGCCUAAUACAUGCAAGUGAAACGGGUAUCUUCGGAUACCAGUCGCGGACGGGUGAGUAAUACAUAGGCAACCUGCCUUUAUGAGGGGGAUAACCGAGGGAAACUUUGGCUAAUACCGCAUGAAGACUCUAAGGCAUCUUAGAGGGAUAAAAGUUGGGAAACAACGCAUGAAGAUGGGCUUAUGGCGCAUUAGCUAGUUGGUGAGAUAGAAGCCCACCAAGGUAAUGAUGCGUAGCCGACCUGAGAGGGUGAACGGCCACAUUGGGACUGAGACACGGCCCAAACUCCUACGGGAGGCAGCAGUAGGGAAUUUUCGGCAAUGGGGGGAACCCUGACCGAGCAACGCCCGCGUGAAGGAAGAAGGUUUUCGGAUUGUAAACUUCUGUUAUAAGGGAAGAACGGAUUGGAUAGGGAAUGAUCUGAUAGUGACGGUACCUUAUUAGAAAGCCACGGCUAACUACGUGCCAGCCGCGGC
rnacentral:rRNA from 1 species